rnacentral:ncRNA from 1 species
CAAAGGUUUGGUCCUGGCCUUUUCAUUAGCUAUUAAUAAAUUUACACAUGCAAGAAUCCUCACCCCAGUGAAGACGCCCUUCUAAACCACCCAGUGGUAAUAAGGAGCCGGUAUCAAGCACACUAAAAGUAGCUCAAGACACCUCGCUUAGCCACGCCCCCACGGGAAACAGCAGUGACAAAAAUUAAGCAAUAAAUGAAAGUCUGACUAAGUUAUAUUAUUGAGGGCUGGUUAAUUUCGUGCCAGCCACCGCGGUCAUACGAUUAGACCAAGCUAAUGAAUGUUCGGCGUAAAGAGUGUUUUAGAGCCCAAAAACUAAUAAAGUCAAAUUCUAGCUAGGCUGUAAAAAGCUCCAGUUAUAUUAAGAUACAAAACGAAAGUAACUUUAAAAAAUCUGAACACACGACAGCUAAGAUCCAAACUGGGAUUAGAUACCCCACUAUGCUUAGCCUUAAACAUAAAAAAUUAAAAACAAAAUUAUUCGCCAGAGUACUACUAGCAAGAGCUAAAAACUCAAAGGACUUGGCGGUGCCUUACAUCCUUCUAGAGGAGCCUGUUCCGUAAUCGAUAAACCCCGAUACACCUUACCAAUCUUUGCUAAAUCAGCCUAUAUACCGCCAUCUUCAGCAAACCCUAAAAAGGAAGUACAGUAAGCACAAAUACUAACAUAAAGACGUUAGGUCAAGGUGUAGCUUAUAGAUUGGAGAGAAAUGGGCUACAUUCUCCGAACUGGAGCAACACUCACGAAGACUUAUGUGAAAUAAGAAGUUAAAGGUGGAUUUAGUAGUAAAUUAAGAAUAGAGUGCUUAAUUGAAUCCGGCCAUGAGGCACGCACACACCGCCCGUCACCCUCCUCAAGUAAAAAAUAUUAAUUACUACCUAAAAUAUAAAUAAUAUUAACUUAUGAGAGGAGAUAAGUCGUAACAAGGUAAGUGUACUGGAAAGUGCACUUGGACAACU